UCCUGUGUGGAUGCUGCAAGCGUGCGAGACGCAGCAGUUCAGCGACGCACACGCACUGCUGAGGUUCACACAUCCAGUGUGUCCCAGGCGCACAGAAAAAAAAGUGCGCAGUGCCAAUUCAUUUCCUAUUGGUCAUAUAGGCUGUCACUUCACUUCAGCUUCACUAAUUGGUGGCCGACUGCACGAGUGGCCAAAUAACAUACAAUCGUCAGCACCCUUAUUUGGACUGUUAACUUUCGAGUAGGAUACAGGAGCUGAAGUUGAGGAGAGAAGAAGUUGCAGAAUGACCGGAUCCAAACCAAAAGACUACAUUUCCCUUCAACCAAAAUGAGGGACGUACAGCUGGAAACUAUAGAGGAAGAGGCUAAGAGGAUGAUUAAAAAUAGUGACUGUCCAAUUACAUUUUUUUAACUGUUGUGUUGCUUUCAUUAGGGUCCCAUAGAGUACUGGGAAAUGUGCGUAGAUAAAGGCAUUUUGCAUUUGUCACCUUUGAGGACGGCUAUACAGAGAAGUUGUUGAAAGUGUGGCACAGAAUGACAGAGGGUCCUGGCUAUGUGAGAAGUGUAGUUCAGAGUUCAUAAAACUUGUGGAAGAGAAGAAGAAGAUGGAGGACAUUCUUUCCAGCGUAAAUAUCAUCCUUUGAAGAAGGCUCUUCAAGAGCUCCUCACCAGUAUUGGCCCAUUUCUGUCGUGCUUGCCUCCAUAGUGCACCAAUGUGAGCAUGGCAGCCUACGACUUUUCCAUCUCCUUUUUGAGCAAGAUUGGGAUUGGUGGGCUGUGAGUUGAUUUUUGGUAUGUUGUGAAAAGAUAUAGAAAUACAUAGGUGUUUAUAACCUUUGGUGUAGAUGCUUUUGUUUUGUGAAAUACUUAAUAUUUGAAAUUUCAAGCCCUUCUAAAACAAUUAAUUCUUUUUUAGGGGUCAAACUACAAUGUUUAAGAACUACUGUUUAUAAUCUUUGGUAUAGCUGUUUGUUGAAAUAUUGAAUAUUUGAAAUCUCAAGCUGUUAUCUAAUGAUUAAUCAAGUUAAAUAGUCUGAAAAGGGAAAAUAAGUCAUUUUUGGUGUCAAAGUUCAUUCAGUUUAUGCAACUAUGGGAGAAUCAUGAAUCAUGAAUACAUUUUUUUAUCUGUCAUGAACCACAAAGGUUGAGAUCAGCUGCUCUAACUGACAUUUGCACUGUGGUCUUGUUUUGAUUUUGAAUACCAAGUUAACACUGAUGUUGCAAGUAAAAGUUGCAUGUUUAAUGUAAAUGCAAAAUAAAAGUCUGGCUCAGUUGGCUUCAAA